UUGACUGCGGCGUGCUUACACAUGCAAGUCGAACGAUGAAGCCCAGCUUGCUGGGUGGAUUAGUGGCGAACGGGUGAGUAACACGUGAGUAACCUGCCCUUGACUCUGGGAUAAGCGUUGGAAACGACGUCUAAUACCGGAUACGAGCUUCCACCGCAUGGUGAGUUGCUGGAAAGAAUUUUGGUCAAGGAUGGACUCGCGGCCUAUCAGCUUGUUGGUGAGGUAACGGCUCACCAAGGCGACGACGGGUAGCCGGCCUGAGAGGGUGACCGGCCACACUGGGACUGAGACACGGCCCAGACUCCUACGGGAGGCAGCAGUGGGGAAUAUUGCACAAUGGGCGAAAGCCUGAUGCAGCAACGCCGCGUGAGGGACGACGGCCUUCGGGUUGUAAACCUCUUUUAGCAGGGAAGAAGCGAAAGUGACGGUACCUGCAGAAAAAGCACCGGCUAACUACGUGCCAGCAGCCGCGGUAAUACGUAGGGUGCAAGCGUUGUCCGGAAUUAUUGGGCGUAAAGAGCUCGUAGGCGGUUUGUCGCGUCUGCUGUGAAAUCCCGAGGCUCAACCUCGGGUCUGCAGUGGGUACGGGCAGACUAGAGUGCGGUAGGGGAGAUUGGAAUUCCUGGUGUAGCGGUGGAAUGCGCAGAUAUCAGGAGGAACACCGAUGGCGAAGGCAGAUCUCUGGGCCGCUACUGACGCUGAGGAGCGAAAGGGUGGGGAGCAAACAGGCUUAGAUACCCUGGUAGUCCACCCCGUAAACGUUGGGCGCUAGAUGUGGGGACCAUUCCACGGUUUCCGUGUCGUAGCUAACGCAUUAAGCGCCCCGCCUGGGGAGUACGGCCGCAAGGCUAAAACUCAAAGGAAUUGACGGGGGCCCGCACAAGCGGCGGAGCAUGCGGAUUAAUUCGAUGCAACGCGAAGAACCUUACCAAGGCUUGACAUAUACGAGAACGGGCCAGAAAUGGUCAACUCUUUGGACACUCGUAAACAGGUGGUGCAUGGUUGUCGUCAGCUCGUGUCGUGAGAUGUUGGGUUAAGUCCCGCAACGAGCGCAACCCUCGUUCUAUGUUGCCAGCACGUAAUGGUGGGAACUCAUGGGAUACUGCCGGGGUCAACUCGGAGGAAGGUGGGGACGACGUCAAAUCAUCAUGCCCCUUAUGUCUUGGGCUUCACGCAUGCUACAAUGGCCAGUACAAAGGGCUGCAAUACCGUAAGGUGGAGCGAAUCCCAAAAAGCUGGUCCCAGUUCGGAUUGAGGUCUGCAACUCGACCUCAUGAAGUCGGAGUCGCUAGUAAUCGCAGAUCAGCAACGCUGCGGUGAAUACGUUCCCGGGCCUUGUACACACCGCCCGUCAAGUCAUGAAAGUCGGUAACACCCGAAGCCAGUGGCCUAACCGCAAGGAAGGAGCUGUCUAAGGUGAUCGUAGCCUU
rnacentral:rRNA from 1 species